ensembl:lncRNA EFCAB6-AS1 EFCAB6 antisense RNA 1
GCAUAUCUGAAGUACCAGCUAUAAUAGAAAAGCCGCCGUGGAAACGUCUUCUUGGGGUGCCCCCGAUCGCAAUAACAGUCUGGGUGCACCAUGACAGCUUUCGCUAUGCACACAGUCACUUGGAAAGAAUCCAAUCCAUGAUCCCAAGCUGCCUUUAGUCAUCAUGGCUCCCAACUGUCUUCCAGUCUAAGAUGGUUUCUCCGUAUUUCCUUGCUUCCUCUGGCCUUGGAAGUUUUGAGGCGUGCUGGGAAUUGGCAGUGCCACCCCAGCCUUCAGCAACCAUCGACAUUGAGGUGGGACCCUCUACUAGCAAAAAGAUUACAAGAAGAUUACUUGCUGAAGGCUCAGAAGAUCACCACCAUAUUUUAGUAAUAAAGUAUUUUUAUUAAGCUAUGUAAUUUUUUUAGACAUAAUGCUAUCGCACACUUAAUAGACUACAGUAUAGUGUAAACAUAACUUUUAUAUGCAUCAGUAAAUCAAAAAAUUCAUUGACUCAUUUUAUUGCGAUAUUUGCUUUGCUACGGUCUGGAACCAAACCUGCAAAGUCUCUGAGACAUGCCUGUAUGAAGAAAUGCCACAUACAUGGGCAAAGACUCCAUGACUAAAACACCAAAAGCAAUUGCAACAAAAGCCAAAAUUGAUGAAUGGGAUCUAAUCAAAGUAAAGAGCUUCUGCAUAGCAAAAUAAACUAUCAUCAGAGUGAACAGGCAACCUACAGAAUGGAAGAAAAUUUUUGCAAUCUACCCAUCGGACAAAGGCCUAAUAUCCAGAAUCUACAAGGAACUUAAAUAAAUUUACAAGAAAAAAACAACCCCAUCAAAAAGUGGGCAAAGGAUAUGAACAGACACUUCUCAAAAGAAGACAUUUAUGUGGCCAAUAAACAUAUGAAAAAAAGCUCAUCAUCACUGGUCAUUAGAGAAAUGCAAACCAAAACCACAAUAAGAUACCCUCUUACGCCAGUUAGAAUGGUGAUUAUUAAGAAGUCAGGAAACAACAGAUGCUGGUGAGGCUGUGGAGAAAUAGGAAUGCUUUUACACUGAUGGUGGGAGUAUAAAUUAGUUCAACCACUGUGGAAGACAGUGUGGUGAUUCCUCAAAGAUCUAGAACCAGAAAUAUCAUUUGACCCAGCAAUCCCAUUACUGGGUAUAUACCCAAAGGAUUAUAAAUGAUUCUACUAUAAAGACACAUACACAUGUAUGUUUAUUGUGGCACUAUUUACAAUAGCAAAGACUUGGAACCAACCCAAAUGCCCAUCAAUGAUAGACUGGAUAAAGAAAAUGUGGCACAUACACACCACGGAAUACUAUGCAGCCAUAAAAAAUAAUGAGUUCAUGUCCUUUGCAGGGAUAUGGAUAAAGCUGGAAGCUAUAAUUCUCAGCAGACUAACAUAGGAACAGAAAAGGAGACACCACAUGUUCUCACUCAUAAGUGGGAGUUGAACAAUGAGGACACAUGAACACAGGGAGGGGAACAUCACACACUGGGGCCUAUUGUUGGGUGGGGGGCAAGGGGAGGGAAAGCAUUAGGACAAAUACCUAAUGCAUGUGGGGCUUAAAACCUAGAUGGCAGGUUGAUAAGUGUAGGAAACCACCAUGGCACAUGUAUACCUAUGUAACAAACCUGCAUGUUCUGUACAUGUAUCCCAGAACUGAAAGUAAAAUUUAAAAAAUGCCUGUAUAAACAAUGUGUAUAAAU